rnacentral:rRNA from 1 species
GAUGAACGCUGGCGGCGUGCCUAACACAUGCAAGUCGAGCGAUUCUCCUCGGAGAAGAGCGGCGGACGGGUGAGUAACGCGUGGGUAACCUGCCCUGUACACACGGAUAACAUACCGAAAGGUAUGCUAAUACGAGAUAAUAUGCUUUUAUCGCAUGGUAGAGGUAUCAAAGCUACGGCGGUACAGGAUGGACCCGGGUCUGAUUAGCUAGUUGGUAAGGUAACGGCCUACCAAGGCGACGAUCAGUAGCCGACCUGAGAGGGCGAUCGGCCACAUUGGAGCGGGGACACGGUCCAAACUCAUACGGGAGGCAGCAGUGGGGAAUAUUGCACGAUGGGCGAAAGCCUGAUGCAGCAACGCCGCGUGAGCGAUGAAGGCCUUCGGGUCGUAAAGCUCUGUCCUCAAGGAAGAUGAUGACGGUACUUGAGGAGGAAGCCCCGGCUAACUACGUGCCAGCCGCCGCCGUAA